rnacentral:rRNA from 1 species
GACGAACGCUGGCGGCGUGCCUAAUACAUGCAAGUUGAGCGAUGAAGAUUGGUGCUUGCACCAAUUUGAAGAGCAGCGAACGGGUGAGUAACGCGUGGGGAAUCUGCCUUUGAGCGGGGGACAACAUUUGGAAACGAAUGCUAAUACCGCAUAACAACUUUAAACAUAAGUUUUAAGUUUGAAAGAUGCAAUUGCAUCACUCAUAGAUGAUCCCGCGUUGUAUUAGCUAGUUGGUGAGGUAAAGGCUCACCAAGGCGAUGAUACAUAGCCGACCUGAGAGGGUGAUCGGCCACAUUGGGACUGAGACACGGCCCAAACUCCUACGGGAGGCAGCAGUAGGGAAUCUUCGGCAAUGGACGAAAGUCUGACCGAGCAACGCCGCGUGAGUGAAGAAGGUUUUCGGAUCGUAAAACUCUGUUGGUAGAGAAGAACGUUGGUGAGAGUGGAAAGCUCAUCAAGUGACGGUAACUACCCAGAAAGGGACGGCUAACUACGUG